rnacentral:lncRNA from 1 species
GACUUGACCAUUGGGUCAUCUUCUUGAGGUAAGGCCCCUUAGAAUGACCCUCUUACCAUUACCAAAUGUAAGACAAAAGGCCAAACUCGCAUGUACUUCAAAUCAUAAUGUUUCAUACCCAUCAUGUCUAACAUCCCAUAUUUUUAUUUUUAAAUAAAUCAAUAAUCAACUACAAUAGAAAUGCAUAUAUCAAAAUCAUU